rnacentral:rRNA from 1 species
GAUGAACGCUGGCGGCGUGCCUAAUACAUGCAAGUCGAGCGAACGGACGAGAAGCUUGCUUCUCUGAUGUUAGCGGCGGACGGGUGAGUAACACGUGGAUAACCUACCUAUAAGGCUGGGAUAACUUCGGGAAACCGGAGCUAAUACCGGAUAAUAUUUUGAACCGCAUGGUUCAAAAGUGAAAGACGGUCUUGCUGUCACUUAUAGAUGGAUCCGCGCUGCAUUAGCUAGUCGGUAAGGUAACGGCUUACCAAGGCAACGAUGCAUAGCCGACCUGAGAGGGUGAUCGGCCACACUGGAACUGAGACACGGUCCAGACUCCUACGGGAGGCAGCAGUAGGGAAUCUUCCGCAAUGGGCGAAAGCCUGACGGAGCAACGCCGCGUGAGUGAUGAAGGUCUUCGGAUCGUAAAACUCUGUUAUUAGGGAAGAACAUAUGUGUAAGUAACUGUGCACAUCUUGACGGUACCUAAUCAGAAAGCCACGGCUAACUACGUG